rnacentral:rRNA from 2 species
GCGAGGCCGAAAGGCGUAGUCGAUGGGAAACAGGUUAAUAUUCCUGUACUUGGUGUUACUGCGAAGGGGGGACGGAGAAGGCUAUGUUAGCCGGGCGACGGUUGUCCCGGUUUAAGCAUGUAGGCUGAUUAUCCAGGCAAAUCCGGAUAAUCAAGGCUGAGGUGUGAUGACGAGGCACUACGGUGCUGAAGUAACAAAUGCCCUGCUUCCAGGAAAAGCCUCUAAGCAUCAGGUAACAUCAAAUCGUACCCCAAA